GCCCAGCACGCUGCUCCUGGCACCUGAAGACCAGCUCCGGGCUGGGCGGGCAACCACAGAGCCACAAGCACAGAACUGAGACUUCCUAUCUGGUUAGCCAGCUGCUUCCAUACUCAGCCAUCGAUACGUUCUUCGAACUGGUCCUUCUCUUCCCUACAACUACCCAGUGACAACAGGGGUCUUCGGUCACUCAAGGCCAGAGACCUUGGCCUCUAGAGUAUGGAGGGAGCCAUCAGCUUGAUGCAAGCUCUUUGAAGCAGGAUAUAAAAACAUGAAGGCAACAGUCAGGCAUCAUAACAUUUUAUGGUGAACUGAAGAAACGCAGGCUUGCACAGGCCGGUUAACAUUUCAGAAGACAUGCCGGUGCUUGACCUAAAGCAAGGCGGCCCACAAGUGGACUGAAAAACAAUACUAGCUCUCUCUCACAGGGCUUGAGGAG
ensembl:lncRNA